UAAUCCCGGUGUGACUCCCGCUCCACCUGGCAGUCUUCCAGCCCCAACCCCCAAAGCGCCUCCUUGACCAAAUGAACCUCCUGCAGCUCCACCUGGUUAAGAAAACUAACAGAGAUUACUGCAUUGCUCGAUCCUAUGUACCUGUUUUUGGUGAUACGAGAGGGUAACCACGGAAAACCCCAGGCAACUGCUGUCCACGGCCAUCUAAGGUCCUCCCCCAGUCGUGCCAGUCUGUGGCAGCAUUGGAACUGAAACAGGAAUGAA